rnacentral:rRNA from 1 species
AUGGCUAGUAAUUGGAGUUUCAGACAAUUUGGGGAGGUAAUUUGUAGCCAAUAUCCUUGGGGUUUGCUUGAUGAAGUGGUAUACAAAUACUAUGAUGGGGAAAAGAAUUGGGUGACAGUUAGUAAUGAUGAAGAGCUAGCUACCAUGUUUGUUAGGCAUAAAGAGAAAGAUAAUUUUCAUGUGAGGCUGCAAGUUGAUGUGCUUGAGCAGGCAUUUGGACCUAGGAUGACGGGUGCAACAUCUCGGGGAGAACCAAGUCAUCGUAAUGGCAUCUCUAGCCAGAACAGUUCAGUUGGUGCACGGCGACGUGGUGGCUCGACAAGUGUGGGCAACAGCAGUAGGGUCCCCCUUGAAGUGGAGCCUGAUGACUACAAUUCUGGGGUUGAUGAAGAGAAGCUAUAUUCUGAUGUUAUUCGGAAUUUACGACGGGCACCUCGGACUGAAAACCAAGAUGAGGCUCAUAAUGCAGUCCAUGUGGAUGAUGACGCGGUGGGUGAGGACGAAGACCUUGCAGCUGUUGAACGGGACCCUUUGAACCCUCAUAUGGAAGAAGGUACAGUUUUUGCAUCCAUGAAUGAGUGUAGAAAUGCACUUGUGACAUACUGCAUCAAGGUAGAACGUACUUUCAAAGUUGACAAGAGCGAUCAAGUACGUUACAGAGUGCACUGUCUGACUGAGGGUUGUCCAUGGAGGCUGCUCGCAUCUAAAAUGUGA